UCGACCGCGACCCCAGGUCAGACGGGACUACCCGCUGAGUUUAAGCAUAUCAAUAAGCGGGGGAGAAGAACUUACAAGGAU
rnacentral:rRNA from 1 species